rnacentral:rRNA from 1 species
UACCUAUUCCGCGACCAGAUGCUUUGGUCUCUAAGACCCAAGCUAGGGGUCGCCUCAGCUAAGGAAAAAGAAAAAGAAAACGAGGACGGCGGUAAAAAAGUAAAAAAAACGACCCACUUCGCCUCUUCUGCUCUCCUCUACCGCCGCUUCCUCCGGCUACCCCUGGUGAAGUAGCUCUACCACAGCCGCCCACGCGAAAUGGCGCCGCCGCUUACCCUCGCGUUCAUGACCUCGACGAGUUCCCCGUUCCUAGCGGUGGGCAUGGGCCACCCGAUAGUGCGGCAGGCGGUAAAGAGGCCCUAUAGCAUGCGGUACCUCUAGGUCGUUCCUGGGUCUCCCGGACAUAAGGUCCAGUGUAGGUGGCUCCCUCUAACGCGCUGUCCCGUCUGUGGCCUGUAUCGAACCUUCUUGAAGGUAUUCUUCUGUCCCCGGUUUCAGUCCCUGACCGUCUCCCGCCCCUCGAAGGGAGUCUUCUAACUGCCGCAGCUCCGUACGAGAAGUAUAGGUAAAUAAAUCAAUGGACUUGGACACGUAACGUUACUUUUACAAGGAAGGAUCAAGCGAAAAGGGUCCUUCGAGUACCGGCUCCCGUAACGGGUAGGGGGACAUGUGAAAGACAUCUUGGUGUAUCUGCAAAUUGUUCAAUAUCUACCAAACGAUAGUGAGUGUAGUCUUAGAUGACCAUACUGAUGUUCACCUUGGAUAAAGAACUACAUACUGUUCUUCCCUUGAUACAUCUGUCUGUUUGUUUGUGAAACCACGAUCGUUAACUCAUGAUAUCGAGGUCCCGGGACAGUGCAAGUGUCACAAUAUAGUAAACUUAGGUCUAUCAACAAGGUUGUCCUCAGUCGUUGGACGUCACUUAGUUAUAUUUCGUCUGGUACUGGUAACGAUAAGAACUAAGAACAAUGUGAAAAGUUAUCUGGUAUUGACGCACGGAAGUUGUGACAAAUAGUAUCGGUCUAAUAUUUACAAACUAAAACGUCAACAGAACACGUCGAAAAACCCAAUUUUUUACGUAGACAAGUCUCUGACGAAGCAGUCGAAGAUCAUCUAAGCUGACCUAAACCUUAUCUGUACGGAAGAGGUUUUUAAAUACCACGACGAAGUGGCAGCUCGUCUUUGGCACUAUCAUGUUUCAGUACGUCACUACUGGACAAAGUCUUGUCAACAGAAAACGGCAGACCAUUUUAAAACCACCGUCGGCAACUAACCACUUUUAUUUCACAGUCCAUUACAACGUGGCCAUCGGUUCCGGUGUAAGACCAUCACAGUACACAGACAUCACUAGACUAUCGUACACACCCAACCGGUUCAACAGAGAUGACGGACGAGGGAGACCAUAAUCGUACAAAAGUCAAGACCAUUUUGACAACAACCUAGAGAGAUUGUCUCGGAUCAUUCGAUAUCUAAAAUCUUUCCUUAAAACUACGAAGGAAGUCCACGUUUUGCGAGGUACCUAAACUCUCAUUCCUAGCCAGUUACUUCGUCUAAUACGACGACUAGUUACGGCCGUUUAACUGUCGAACGCAUGUCAAGUAUAAGAACAAAUUUCGUACUCUUAGUAUUAAAACACAAAAAGCAAGCCGUCGUC